rnacentral:snRNA from 1 species
AACUACUCUGUUCUGUUGAUCCAU